rnacentral:rRNA from 1 species
GUCUCCUUGAAAUAUUAUUUAUGGGGAGUCGAACCUGCCCAGUGACUAGAGAUGUUAAACGGCCGCGGUACCCUAACCGUGCAAAGGUAGCAUAAUCAUUUGCCUUUUAAUUGGAGGCUUGUAUGAAUGGUUUGACGAGAGCCAAGCUGUCUCUUUUUAAAUAACUAGAAAUUAACCUUUAGGUGAAGAGGCCUAAAUUGAGCUGAAUGACAAGAAGACCCUGUUGAGCUUUAGUAUUACUGAAUUUUAGUUUAAUUAUCUUGAUAAUAUAAGGUAAUAUUUACAUUUUCAUGAAAUAGUUUAAUUUGGUGAAUCUUUAGUUGGGGCGACUGAGGAACAAUAAAAGCUUCCUUGAGAAUAUUAUUGUAGAAUGUGCUUAUUAGUGUUUACAGAUUAAAUGAUCCGGCUUUUGCUGAUUAAGGGAAAAAGUUACCACAGGGAUAACAGCGUAAUCUUUCUGGAGAGAUCUUAUCNAANGAAGGGUUUGCGACCUCNAUGUUGGACUAANAUAUCCUAANGGNGUAGNAG